rnacentral:rRNA from 1 species
UAGGGAAUCUUCGGCAAUUGACGAAAGUCUGACCGAGCAACGCCGCGUGAGUGAAGAAGGUUUUCGGAUCGUAAAACUCUGUUGUUAGAGAAGAACAAGGACGUUAGUAACUGAACGUCCCCUGACGGUAUCUAACCAGAAAGCCACGGCUAACUACGUGCCAGCAGCCGCGGUAAUACGUAGGUGGCUAGCGUUUUCCGGAUUUUUUUGGCGUAAAGCGAGCGCAGGCGGUUUCUUAAGUCUGAUGUGAAAGCCCCCGGCUCAACCGGGGAGGGUGAUUGGAAACUGGGAGACUUGAGUGCAGAAGAGGAGAGUGGAAUUCCAUGUGUAGCGGUGAAAUGCGUAGAUAUAUGGAGGAACACCAGUGGCGAAGGCGGCGCUCUGGUCUGUAACUGACGCUGAGGAUAGAAAGCGUGGGGAGCAAACAGG